UUCUCCUCUCAAAACCCUUUCUUUUUCCCGCAGCCCACCAAACCAGUCUCAGAAAAACGACGAUCUCGAACCCGUUCACCGUUGGAUCGUCGUGAAAUUUGAGUAUCAUGUUCGCAACCCAAUUCCGAACAUUCUCACCGUUGGGAAUUUCAAAAUCAUAUCUGAGCCUAGAGGAAAACCCUUCGCAUUGUAACAUUUUAAUUUCCCGCAGAAACCCAAAAACUGUCUCGGUAAAACUACGAUCCUGAUUUCGUUAGCCGUUGGAUUUCCAUGAAAUUCGGAUAUGUUGUUCGAAAUUCAAUUCCGCACGCUUUCACCGUUGGGAUUUGCGAAAUAAUAUUCGUGGAGGGAGAAAAAGGAAUCGCAUGAAGACAGAAUAAGUGGAGGUUUCAAUCUCUUCUCCGUCUCUUUGACGUUUGGGAAUUCUAUCGAGGAAUAAUUGAAAGAAUUUCAGGGAACCGCUAGAGAUGUUGCUAUCACUUGCUGAAGACACGUGAGUCCGCU
rnacentral:lncRNA from 1 species